CCCCCUCUCUUAUAAAAUGAAAAAUUGAAUCAUUAUAUUUUUUAUAAUAAAAUAAAAGAUCACUUUCAACAACGGAUCUCUUGGCUCUCGCAUCGAUGAAGAACGUAGCGAAGUGCGAUAUGUAGUGUGAAUUGCAGAAUUCCGUGAAUCA
rnacentral:rRNA from 1 species